rnacentral:rRNA from 1 species
CAGAUUCCUACGGGAGGCAGCAGUGGGGAAUAUUGCACAAUGGGCGCAAGCCUGAUGCAGCGACGCCGCGUGAGGGAUGACGGCCUUCGGGUUGUAAACCUCUUUCAGUAGGGAAGAAGCGAAAGUGACGGUACCUGCAGAAGAAGCACCGGCUAACUACGUGCCAGCAGCCGCGGUAAUACGUAGGGUGCGAGCGUUAUCCGGAAUUAUUGGGCGUAAAGAGCUCGUAGGCGGUUUGUCGCGUCUGUCGUGAAAGUCCGGGGCUUAACCCCGGAUCUGCGGUGGGUACGGGCAGACUAGAGUGCAGUAGGGGAGACUGGAAUUCCUGGUGUAGCGGUGGAAUGCGCAGAUAUCAGGAGGAACACCGAUGGCGAAGGCAGGUCUCUGGGCUGUAACUGACGCUGAGGAGCGAAAGCAUGGGGAGCGAACAGGAUUAGAUACCCUGGUAGUCCAUGCCGUAAACGUUGGGCACUAGGUGUGGGGACCAUUCCACGGUUUCCGCGCCGCAGCUAACGCAUUAAGUGCCCCGCCUGGGGAGUACGGCCGCAAGGCUAAAACUCAAAGGAAUUGACGGGGGCCCGCACAAGCGGCGGAGCAUGCGGAUUAAUUCGAUGCAACGCGAAGAACCUUACCAAGGCUUGACAUGUUCUCGAUCGCCGUAGAGAUACGGUUUCCCCUUUGGGGCGGGUUCACAGGUGGUGCAUGGUUGUCGUCAGCUCGUGUCGUGAGAUGUUGGGUUAAGUCCCGCAACGAGCGCAACCCUCGUUCCAUGUUGCCAGCACGUCGUGGUGGGGACUCAUGGGAGACUGCCGGGGUCAACUCGGAGGAAGGUGAGGACGACGUCAAAUCAUCAUGCCCCUUAUGUCUUGGGCUUCACGCAUGCUACAAUGGCCGGUACAAUGGGUUGCGAUACUGUGAGGUGGAGCUAAUCCCAAAAAGCCGGUCUCAGUUCGGAUUGGGGUCUGCAACUCGACCCCAUGAAGUCGGAGUCGCUAGUAAUCGCAGAUCAGCAACGCUGCGGUGAAUACGUUCCCGGGCCUUGUACACACCGCC